rnacentral:misc_RNA from 1 species
UACGGAGGGGGCAAGCGUUGCUCGGAAUUAUUGGGCGUAAAGCGUACGUAGGUGGUUGGGCAAGUCAGACGUGUAAGCCCACGGCUCAACCGUGGAAUUGCGUUUGAAACUAUCUAACUUGAGUGCAGAAGAGGAAAGCGGAAUUUCCAGUGUAGCGGUGAAAUGUGUUGAUAUUGGGAAGAACACCUGUGGCGAAGGCGGCUUUCUGGUCUGUUACUGACACUGAGAUACGAAAGCCAGGGGAGCAAACGGG